rnacentral:rRNA from 1 species
AACGAACGCUGGCGGCAGGCUUAACACAUGCAAGUCGAGCGCCCCGCAAGGGGAGCGGCAGACGGGUGAGUAACGCGUGGGAACGUACCUUUUGGUUCGGAACAACUCCGGGAAACUGGAGCUAAUACCGGAUAAGCCCUAACGGGGAAAGAUUUAUCGCCGAAAGGUCGGCCCGCGUCUGAUUAGCUCGUUGGUGAGGUAACGGCUCACCAAGGCGACGAUCAGUAGCUGGUCUGAGAGGAUGAUCAGCCACACUGGGACUGAGACACGGCCCAGACUCCUACGGGAGGCAGCAGUGGGGAAUAUUGGACAAUGGGCGCAAGCCUGAUCCAGCCAUGCCGCGUGAGUGAUGAAGGCCUUAGGGUUGUAAAGCUCUUUUGUCCGGGAAGAUAAUGACUGUACCGGAAGAAUAAGCCCCGGCUAACUUCGUG